rnacentral:tRNA from 1 species
GGGAGUUUGGUCUAGUGGUAUGGGGAUUCUCGCUUCGGGCCUGCGAGAGGCCGCGAGUUCGAUUAUCGCAUCUCCCC